GGGUUGUGAGGUUAAGCGACUAAGCGUACACGGUGGAUGCCCUGGCAGUCAGAGGCGAUGAAGGACGUGCUAAUCUGCGAUAAGCGUCGGUAAGGUGAUAUGAACCGUUAUAACCGGCGAUUUCCGAAUGGGGAAACCCAGUGUGUUUCGACACACUAUCAUUAACUGAAUCCAUAGGUUAAUGAGGCGAACCGGGGGAACUGAAACAUCUAAGUACCCCGAGGAAAAGAAAUCAACCGAGAUUCCCCCAGUAGCGGCGAGCGAACGGGGAGGAGCCCAGAGCCUGAAUCAGUGUGUGUGUUAGUGGAAGCGUCUGGAAAGGCGCGCGAUACAGGGUGACAGCCCCGUACACAAAAAUGCACAUGCUGUGAGCUCGAUGAGUAGGGCGGGACACGUGGUAUCCUGUCUGAAUAUGGGGGGACCAUCCUCCAAGGCUAAAUACUCCUGACUGACCGAUAGUGAACCAGUACCGUGAGGGAAAGGCGAAAAGAACCCCGGCGAGGGGAGUGAAAAAGAACCUGAAACCGUGUACGUACAAGCAGUGGGAGCACGCUUCGGCGUGUGACUGCGUACCUUUUGUAUAAUGGGUCAGCGACUUAUAUUCUGUAGCAAGGUUAACCGAAUAGGGGAGCCGAAGGGAAACCGAGUCUUAACUGGGCGUUAAGUUGCAGGGUAUAGACCCGAAACCCGGUGAUCUAGCCAUGGGCAGGUUGAAGGUUGGGUAACACUAACUGGAGGACCGAACCGACUAAUGUUGAAAAAUUAGCGGAUGACUUGUGGCUGGGGGUGAAAGGCCAAUCAAACCGGGAGAUAGCUGGUUCUCCCCGAAAGCUAUUUAGGUAGCGCCUCGUGAAUUCAUCUCCGGGGGUAGAGCACUGUUUCGGCAAGGGGGUCAUCCCGACUUACCAACCCGAUGCAAACUGCGAAUACCGGAGAAUGUUAUCACGGGAGACACACGGCGGGUGCUAACGUCCGUCGUGAAGAGGGAAACAACCCAGACCGCCAGCUAAGGUCCCAAAGUCAUGGUUAAGUGGGAAACGAUGUGGGAAGGCCCAGACAGCCAGGAUGUUGGCUUAGAAGCAGCCAUCAUUUAAAGAAAGCGUAAUAGCUCACUGGUCGAGUCGGCCUGCGCGGAAGAUGUAACGGGGCUAAACCAUGCACCGAAGCUGCGGCAGCGACACUAUGUGUUGUUGGGUAGGGGAGCGUUCUGUAAGCCUGUGAAGGUGUGCUGUGAGGCAUGCUGGAGGUAUCAGAAGUGCGAAUGCUGACAUAAGUAACGAUAAAGCGGGUGAAAAGCCCGCUCGCCGGAAGACCAAGGGUUCCUGUCCAACGUUAAUCGGGGCAGGGUGAGUCGACCCCUAAGGCGAGGCCGAAAGGCGUAGUCGAUGGGAAACAGGUUAAUAUUCCUGUACUUGGUGUUACUGCGAAGGGGGGACGGAGAAGGCUAUGUUGGCCGGGCGACGGUUGUCCCGGUUUAAGCGUGUAGGCUGGUUUUCCAGGCAAAUCCGGAAAAUCAAGGCUGAGGCGUGAUGACGAGGCACUACGGUGCUGAAGCAACAAAUGCCCUGCUUCCAGGAAAAGCCUCUAAGCAUCAGGUAACAUCAAAUCGUACCCCAAACCGACACAGGUGGUCAGGUAGAGAAUACCAAGGCGCUUGAGAGAACUCGGGUGAAGGAACUAGGCAAAAUGGUGCCGUAACUUCGGGAGAAGGCACGCUGAUAUGUAGGUGAAGUCCCUCGCGGAUGGAGCUGAAAUCAGUCGAAGAUACCAGCUGGCUGCAACUGUUUAUUAAAAACACAGCACUGUGCAAACACGAAAGUGGACGUAUACGGUGUGACGCCUGCCCGGUGCCGGAAGGUUAAUUGAUGGGGUUAGCGCAAGCGAAGCUCUUGAUCGAAGCCCCGGUAAACGGCGGCCGUAACUAUAACGGUCCUAAGGUAGCGAAAUUCCUUGUCGGGUAAGUUCCGACCUGCACGAAUGGCGUAAUGAUGGCCAGGCUGUCUCCACCCGAGACUCAGUGAAAUUGAACUCGCUGUGAAGAUGCAGUGUACCCGCGGCAAGACGGAAAGACCCCGUGAACCUUUACUAUAGCUUGACACUGAACAUUGAGCCUUGAUGUGUAGGAUAGGUGGGAGGCUUUGAAGUGUGGACGCCAGUCUGCAUGGAGCCGACCUUGAAAUACCACCCUUUAAUGUUUGAUGUUCUAACGUUGACCCGUAAUCCGGGUUGCGGACAGUGUCUGGUGGGUAGUUUGACUGGGGCGGUCUCCUCCUAAAGAGUAACGGAGGAGCACGAAGGUUGGCUAAUCCUGGUCGGACAUCAGGAGGUUAGUGCAAUGGCAUAAGCCAGCUUGACUGCGAGCGUGACGGCGCGAGCAGGUGCGAAAGCAGGUCAUAGUGAUCCGGUGGUUCUGAAUGGAAGGGCCAUCGCUCAACGGAUAAAAGGUACUCCGGGGAUAACAGGCUGAUACCGCCCAAGAGUUCAUAUCGACGGCGGUGUUUGGCACCUCGAUGUCGGCUCAUCACAUCCUGGGGCUGAAGUAGGUCCCAAGGGUAUGGCUGUUCGCCAUUUAAAGUGGUACGCGAGCUGGGUUUAGAACGUCGUGAGACAGUUCGGUCCCUAUCUGCCGUGGGCGCUGGAGAACUGAGGGGGGCUGCUCCUAGUACGAGAGGACCGGAGUGGACGCAUCACUGGUGUUCGGGUUGUCAUGCCAAUGGCACUGCCCGGUAGCUAAAUGCGGAAGAGAUAAGUGCUGAAAGCAUCUAAGCACGAAACUUGCCCCGAGAUGAGUUCUCCCUGACUCCUUGAGAGUCCUGAAGGAACGUUGAAGACGACGACGUUGAUAGGCCGGGUGUGUAAGCGCAGCGAUGCGUUGAGCUAACCGGUACUAAUGAACCGUGAGGCUUAACCUUACAACGCCGAAGCUGUU
rnacentral:rRNA from 1 species